AGUGGCGGACGGGUGAGUAACACGUAAGAAUUUGCCUUUAGGAGGGGGACAACAACUGGAAACGGUUGCUAAUACCCCAUAUGCUUUCGAGUGAAACGGAUUUUUCCGCCUAAAGAGAAGCUUGCGGCUGAUUAGCUUGUUGGUGAGGUAAUGGCUCACCAAGGCGACGAUCAGUAUCUGGUUUGAGAGGACGAUCAGACACACUGGAACUGAGACACGGUCCAGACUCCUACGGGAGGCAGCAGUGGGGAAUUUUCCGCAAUGGGCGAAAGCCUGACGGAGCAAUACCGCGUGAGGGAUGAAGGCCUAUGGGUUGUAAACCUCUUUUUUCAGGGAGGAACAAAAUGACGUGUACCUGAAGAAUAAGCAUCGGCUAACUCCGUGCCAGCAGCCGCGGUAAGACGGGGGAUGCAAGUGUUAUCCGGAAUCACUGGGCGUAAAGCGUCUGUAGGUGGUUAAGUAAGUCAACUGUUAAAUCUUGAGGCUUAACCUCAAAAUCGCAGUCGAAACUGCUUGACUAGAGUAUAGUAGGGGUAAAGGGAAUUUCCAGUGGAGCGGUGAAAUGCGUAGAUAUUGGAAAGAACACCGAUGGCGAAGGCACUUUACUGGGCUAUUACUAACACUGAGAGACGAAAGCUAGGGUAGCAAAUGGGAUUAGAUACCCCAGUAGUCCUAGCUGUAAACAAUGGAUACUAGAUGU
rnacentral:rRNA from 1 species